UCCCCAAUAGCUCAAUUGGCAGAGCAGCCGACUGUUAAUCGGCAGGUUAUUGGUUCGAGUCCAAUUUGGGGAGCCA
rnacentral:tRNA from 2 species